GAUGAACGCUGGCGGCGUGCCUAAUACAUGCAAGUCGAGCGAACAGACGAGGAGCUUGCUCCUCUGACUUUAUCGGCGGACGGGUGAGUAACACGUGGAUAGCCUACCUAUAAGACUGGGAUAACUUCGGGAAACCGGAGCUAAUACCGGAUAAUAUAUUGAACCGCAUGGUUCAAUAGUGAAAGACGGUUUUGCUGUCACUUAUAGAUUGAUCCGCGCCGCAUUAGCUAGUUGGUAAGGUAACGGCUUACCAAGGCAACGAGGCGUAGCCGACCUGAGAGGGUGAUCGGCCACACUGGAACUGAGACACGGUCCAGACUCCUACGGGAGGCAGCAGUAGGGAAUCUUCCGCAAUGGGCGAAAGCCUGACGGAGCAACGCCGCGUGAGUGAUGAAGGUCUUCGGAUCGUAAAACUCUGUUAUCAGGGAAGAACAAAUGUGUAAGUAACUAUGCACGUCUUGACGGUACCUAAUCAGAAAGCCACGGCUAACUACGUG
rnacentral:rRNA from 1 species